UACGGUAGCACAGAGAGCUUGCUCUCGGGUGACGAGUGGCGGACGGGUGAGUAAUGUCUGGGAAACUGCCUGAUGGAGGGGGAUAACUACUGGAAACGGUAGCUAAUACCGCAUAACGUCGCAAGACCAAAGAGGGGGACCUUCGGGCCUCUUGCCAUCAGAUGUGCCCAGAUGGGAUUAGCUAGUAGGUGGGGUAACGGCUCACCUAGGCGACGAUCCCUAGCUGGUCUGAGAGGAUGACCAGCCACACUGGAACUGAGACACGGUCCAGACUCCUACGGGAGGCAGCAGUGGGGAAUAUUGCACAAUGGGCGCAAGCCUGAUGCAGCCAUGCCGCGUGUAUGAAGAAGGCCUUCGGGUUGUAAAGUACUUUCAGCGGGGAGGAAGGUGUUGUGGUUAAUAACCACAGCAAUUGACGUUACCCGCAGAAGAAGCACCGGCUAACUCCGUGCCAGCAGCCGCGGUAAUACGGAGGGUGCAAGCGUUAAUCGGAAUUACUGGGCGUAAAGCGCACGCAGGCGGUCUGUCAAGUCGGAUGUGAAAUCCCCGGGCUCAACCUGGGAACUGCAUUCGAAACUGGCAGGCUAGAGUCUUGUAGAGGGGGGUAGAAUUCCAGGUGUAGCGGUGAAAUGCGUAUAGAUCUGGAGGAAUACCGGUGGCGAUUGCGGCCCCCUGGACAAGACUGACUCUCAUGUGCGAAAGCGUGGGAGCAAACAGGAUUAUAUACCCUGUAAUCACUCAUAACGUGUCGACUUGAGGUGUGCCCUUGAGCUUGCUUCGGACUACUCUUAAUCUACGCUGGGAGUCGUCGCUGGUUAUUCAAUGAUGCGG
rnacentral:rRNA from 1 species